rnacentral:rRNA from 1 species
AACGAACGCUGGCGGCAUGCCUAACACAUGCAAGUCGAACGAAGGCUUCGGCCUUAGUGGCGCACGGGUGAGUAACGCGUGGGAAACUGCCUAUUGGUGGGGAAUAACGACGGGAAACUGUCGCUAAUACCGCAUAAGCCCUUCGGGGGAAAGAUUUAUCGCCGAUAGAUGUGCCCGCGUCCGAUUAGCUAGUUGGUGAGGUAAUGGCUCACCAAGGCGACGAUCGGUAGCUGGUCUGAGAGGAUGAUCAGCCACACUGGGACUGAGACACGGCCCAGACUACUUCGGGAGGCAGCAGUGGGGAAUAUUGGACAAUGGGCGAAAGCCUGAUCCAGCAAUGCCGCGUGAGUGAUGAAGGCCUUAGGGUUGUAAAGCUCUUUCGGGUGGGACGAUGAUGACGGUACCACCAGAAGAAGCCCCGGCUAACUUCGUGCCAGCAGCCGCAGUAA